rnacentral:rRNA from 1 species
AAUUUUGCGCAAUGGGCGAAAGCCUGACGCAGCAACGCCGCGUGGAGGAUGAAGGCCUUCGGGUCGUAAACUCCUGUCAGGGGGGACGAAAUCCCGAAAGGGACUGACUGUACCCCCGGAGGAAGCCACGGCUAACUCCGUGCCAGCAGCCGCGGUAAUACGGAGGUGGCAAGCGUUGUUCGGAAUUACUGGGCGUAAAGGGCGCGUAGGCGGCAAGGCAAGUCAGGUGUGAAAGCCCCGGGCUCAACUCGGGAACUGCAUCUGAAACUGCUGUGCUUGAGUCCUGGAGGGGGUAGUGGAAUUCCCAGUGUAGCGGUGAAAUGCGUAGAUAUUGGGAGGAACACCGGUGGCGAAGGCGGCUACCUGGACAGUGACUGACGCUGAGGCGCGAAAGCUAGGGGAGCGAAC